rnacentral:sRNA from 1 species
AUGGCUGUCGUCAGCUCGUGUCGUGAGAUGUUGGGUUAAGUCCCGCAACGAGCGCAACCCCCGUCGCAUGUUGCCAGCAUUCAGUUGGGGACUCAUGCGAGACUGCCGGUGACAAACCGGAGGAAGGUGGGGAUGACGUCAAGUCCUCAUGCCCCUUAUGUUCAGGGCUACACACGUGCUACAUUGGCGCAUACAGAGGGCUGCGAUACCGCGAGGUGGAGCGAAUCCCUUAAAGUGCGUCUCGGUUCGGAUUGCAGGCUGAAAUUCGCCUGCAUGGAGGCGGAGUUGCUAGUAAUCGCGGAUCAGCAUUGCCGCGGUGAAUACGUUCCCGGGCCUUGUACACACCGCCCGUCACACCACGGGAGUGAGCAACACCCGAAGCCGGUGGCCUAACCCGCAAGGGAGGGAGCCGUCGAAGGUGGGGCUCGUGACUGGGGUGAAGUCGUAACAAGGUAGCCGUAGCGGAAGCUGCGGCUGGAUCACCUCCUUUCUAGGGAGCACUUAGCGGUGCCCCGAUCCAGGGCCAAUCGCAAGAUCGGCCCGUGCGGUCGCCGAGCCCGUCUGUGCCCAGUAUGGGUACGAGGCACGGCGAUGACAAAGCAGAUCGGGCCUAGCAUGUCGACCGAACCUGGCUGGAUGGCCGUACGCCGCGCGUCCCCCUUACUACUUGGGGCGGGCAACCGGUCUCGGCCGCAACGACGCCAGCAUGCUGUUGAGUUUUGAGAGACCGGCGCCCGUCGAUGCUCGCGGGGACACGUCGAACGAUGACGUGGCCAGAAUGCGCGAGGAUCGGCUGGUGUAGUCGCCUCUCCACGGUCCUUGAAAACUGCACAGAAGCCACAUCAGCCGCCAUCGAUAAGCGGCGGCUGAAAAACGGGUAUCACCGGGCCCCGCACGACCUCGCGUGCCCAGAAAUGGGUAUCGGGUCAUGCUGGGCCAGAUCACCGUCAAGAUAGUAAGGGCACACGGUGGAUGCCUUGGCACCAAGAGUCGACGAAGGGCGUGAAUGGCUGCGAUAAGCCACGGUUAGGCGCUUACUAGCCUUUGACCCGUGGAUUCCCGAAUGGGGAAACCCGG